rnacentral:rRNA from 1 species
CUACGGGAUGCUGCAGUGGGGAAUAUUGGACAAUGGGCGCAAGCCUGAUCCUGCAAUGCCGCGUGAGUGAAGACGGCCUUAGGGUUGUAAAACUCUUUCGCUAGGGAAGAUAAUGACUGUACCUAGUAAAGAAGUCCCGGCUAACUCCGUGCCAGCAGCCGCGGUAAUACGGAGGGGACUAGCGUUGUUCGGAAUUACUGGGCGUAAAGAGUUCGUAGGCGGACUGACAAGUUAGAGGUGAAAUCCCAGGGCUCAACCCUGGAACUGCCUUUAAAACUGUCAGUCUAGAGACCGGAAGAGGUUAGGGGAAUACCUAGUGUAGAGGUGAAAUUCGUAGAUAUUAGGUGGAACACCAGUGGCGAAGGCGCCUAACUGGUCCGGUACUGACGCUGAGGAACGAAAGCGUGGGGAGCAAACAGGAUUAGAUACCCCAGUAGUC